UAGAGGGAGACCAAGCGGUGAAGUAAAGACGAACAUGUAUGUCUUACAUUCACCGGUCAAACCAAGGUCGGUUCAAAAGACGGAAAUUUGUGCAGAAGAAACUGUCAAACUAAUUGUUCUGGUUCAAACAAUCUAACCAAGAAAAAAGGUUAAAAAACGGAACAAGGGCUAUUAGCUCAGGUGGUUAGAGCGCACCCCUGAUAAGGGUGAGGUCCCUGGUUCAAGUCCAGGAUGGCCCACCACAAAUAAGUAAGAAGUAGAAAGUAGUAAGUAACAAGUAAGAAACAAGUGAAAGUUACAAUCGAGUUCUGAAAGAAUGGGGGUAUAGCUCAGCUGGUAGAGCGCCUGCUUUGCAAGCAGGAUGUCAGCGGUUCAAAUCCGCUUACCUCCACCAAGAAAAGAAAAAAUAAUUAAAAUUCAGCAUGGUCAUGACUACAGAAAAAAGUAGGAUGAGUCUGCUGAAGUUUAAAACUUCAGAACAGAACCUUGAAAACUGCAUAAUAUCUAGAAACAACAAACAAGAAUUCGAGUUGAAAGACGAGAAGGUGAGUUUGUUGGUGAUAGAGCCAAGAACUAAAGUAAAAAAUUAAUUUAGGUCAAAUAAAACUAAGACGAUAAGUGAGAGCUUAUCGAAAUAGUCCAAGUAGUAGAGAACAAAAACAAAU
rnacentral:tRNA from 2 species